CUUGACCUCAAAUCAGGCAGGACUACCCGCCGAACU
rnacentral:rRNA from 1 species